AUUGAAGGUAUCUUCAUUGUGCAUUCUGCUCUUUUUGGAUCGUUUAUACAUGCUAACUGUGACAAUAUCCUAUAUUUUUCAUUCAUUCUUUUAUCAUGUGCUGAUAUAACACUGUUUAAAGAAAUAUAUUUCAUGAGUUGUGAAAACUGCUACAUUCCUCCAAAGCACAAGAGUACAUGAUUUAAAUAGAGAAAGUCACUUUGCAUUGUCACACAUGCUUCAGUGCUCUGAGAGUGUUUAUAGUGCUGUGAGUUUAACACUUCAUGACUGAGAGCAGAACAGAACACAAUCUUCAUCAUCACACAAGACAAAAGAACAACAAUGAACAAAAUCACCUUCUUCAUCUGGACUCUCACACUGAUCGCUCAAGAGUGUAGAGGACAGUACACUGUAACUCAGAGUCCAUCAAUAACAGCAGUUCAACCAGGACAAGAAGUCAGAAUAAACUGUAAAACCAGCAGUAGAGUGUAUGGUGGUAAUUAUUUAGCCUGGUACUUACAGAAACCUGGAGAAGCUCCUAAACUCCUCAUAUAUCAUGCAACAAGCCGUUAUACUGGAACUCCAUCUAGAUUCAGUGGCAGUGGAUCUGACAGUGAUUUCACUCUGACCAUCAGUGGAGUCCAGACUGAAGAUACAGGAGAUUAUUACUGUCAGAGUUUACACUAUCCAAACAGUGUAUGGGUGUUCACACAGUGAUAAAGAGUGGUACAAAAACCUCGGUCAGUCAGACGUCACAGUGAUGCACUGAUACAGCUGAGAGAUACUGCAGCUGCUGAUGGAGGAUCACAAACAACACAAUAUUGUAUCAAACCUUUCAGAAACAUUAUUUAUUUAUUUGGAUGUACUAAGCAUGUAACAUAAUCUUUAUAUUAUAUAAAUGUUAGUGGUGUUUGGUCCUGCAAAACUUUCCACUACAAUGUAAUCGAACUGCAGGAAAGUCAGUCACUUUAAUUGCACUUCCAUGCUUCAUCACUAGAUGGCGUGUCUGUUACAUAACUGAGUUCUCUAUCUGUCAGUCACUUUGACGUUGUGUCGAUGUGAUGACACUAGUGUAGUGUUUCUCAACCUUUUUUACUCGAUGGCCUCCUCCUUCACUAGAUCAAUACUGCAGUGCCCCCCUAAGAUGCCUGACAUUUCCUCUUAUACUGAACUUCCACGGCAAAGAGAGAAAAGUGUUUGUAUUUAAGCCUUUUUAUUAACAUUUGUUUGCAUUAUUACUCUUCUACUGCAUGUUUUGUAAUAUUCUUUAAUAUUCUUUUUGAAAACAUAAUUGGUAAAUUAAAGCUAUGCUUUAUAACUUAAAAGAAGUCCCUCUGCUAAAUUAUAAUACUCUGAUGUUACCCAGGUCGAGUGAUUGCAUCUGUGCCAACAGAACGAUUGAAACUCCCAUCUAAAGCCUGUCGGUUCACGUCGUCCCUGAUAACAAGAACUUAAUGCUGUUGGACAGGCUGUCUCUGCUGUACAUGCCACGGACAUGAACGAGGAUAGUCCCGACCCAGCACACAUGCAGGAACUAUGCUCAUCAACCGAUUUAUUAAUAAUUAAUAAUCAUCAAUAAUUAAUAAUCAUAAACUGUGAGGUAAGAUUAGUUUACACACAUCAGAAGGCCUACUCUCUCAUCCCUGCAUAGAAAGACACAUGAGAUGCUAAAAUUCAAUGGCUAAAAGCAGCACUUUAAAGGAAAAUUCACUAAUCACUGAUGCACAUUAUGACAGAAACCCUUAACAAUGUUCUAACAUCAUAAAUACAGCGAUUAUGAUAUAAAUAGACAAUAAAGCAAAUACAGGAUAAAUGUGAAACAACAAAACGACCUCUGCUUCCCCGUCGACAUACAGCAUGAGCGCAAAUGCUUAAAGGGGAAACAAUAAAUCUUCCUAUGGUGUCCCAGUAAUUGUUCCCGAUUAAACCACUGAAAAUACAACAUUACAUACAAGUUUUGCUGAAGUUAACUCAAUUAUAGAAUUGUUUCUUUAUUCCUCUAUGGCAUGGUGUCGCCCUCAGGGCAACAUAAAACGUUUUUGGACUUCACACUGGAUCUAUAUAUGACACAUCUGUUCAAUGAAAUGAGGGGCUGAAGUGGGUGCAGCCUUUUCUGUUUAUCCACAUUUCCUGAUGGAUAUAUUAUCAGGGACCCCCAAUCAGAAUGUGAGGUGGAGGGUUUCUGAAAGUACACUGCACUGCUACAGCAAACAAUAGACAAGUGUUUGAAUGUUGAGCAGCAAGAUCAUUGACUACUGAUACAGCAGGAAUCAUUCAGUUGUGUCCUGUAGAGAAUGAUGUGUAAAUGUGUAUGUCUGACUCUGUAUAUUUACUGUUACUGUGCUUUGGUGAUGUAAAGCCUUUCUUUUAACCCUGUCAGUAAAACUAUUGGACUCUGAAUGUA